UCAGACAUUCACGUACUUUGUCCCUGAACUUGAAUUAUGCUUGCAUAGUGGCCCUUAUCCGAAAUUUUGCUUACACAAAUAUAGUCCUUAAACUGAUCAUGUUUUGGCACUUCAGGACAAAAUCUCGAGCAAAAUUUGACUUUAAGGAAGAAAGUGGCACCAAUUACCCUGGAAAGAGAGAGAGAGAGAGAAACCAGGUUUGAAUAAUCCAAAGUUAAGGAUGCAACAUCUUCAAACUAUCAUUGCAGAUGUCAUCAUUAAAAUAAAGCAACAGAGAAAGAAAGAGGGAGAGCAUGAUUGAAGAAUCAAAAGGGUAUUGAAUUAGGAUGCGACAAAUUCCAACUGUAUGCCAAAUCUUAUUAUUACAGUGGCAGAGACCUUUUACCAAGAUAGCCAAGUAGAAAGAAAAGAAGACAUUUUCUCAGUGGCUUCCACAUUGACUUGGAAAAAUGACCUGCUUGUCUCCAGAUUCAGUAACGUGUCUAUAUUAUUUAUCAUCACCAUGGAACAGCAAUGGAGAACCAAGUCCAGACCAGUUUCUGCUGGGGUCAGUAAGAUGGUGCUUUUAGCAAUUUUAUAUUAUUA